AGGAUAAACGCUGGCGGCGUGCCUAACACAUGCAAGUCGAACGCGCUUUCGGGCUUCGGUGCGAGAGCGAGUGGCGGACGGGUGAGUAACACAUGGGUACCUGCCUUUCAGUGAGGGAUACCGGCGAGAAAUCGCCGACAAUACCGCAUGGGCUUGUGGGAACACAAGCAAAGUGGCGCAAGCCACGCUGGAAGAUGGGCCUGUGGCCGAUUAGCUAGUUGGGGGGGUAAUGGCCUCCCAAGGCGACGAUCGGUAGCUGGUCUGAGAGGACGAUCAGCCACACUGGGAUUGAGAACGGCCCAGACUCCUACGGGGGGCAGCAGUGAGGAAUUUUCCGCAAUGGACGAAAGUCUGACGGAGCAACGCCGCGUGCAGGAGGAAGGUUUUCGGAUCGUAAACUGCUUUUCUCGGGGACGAGCAAGGACGGUACCCGAGGAAGAAGCCCCGGCUAACUACGUGCCAGCAGCCGC
rnacentral:rRNA from 1 species